rnacentral:rRNA from 1 species
CCUACGGGAGGCAGCAGUAGGGAAUAUUGCUCAAUGGGGGAAACCCUGAAGCAGCAACGCCGCGUGAAGGAUGAAGGUUUUAGGAUUGUAAACUCCUUUUGUUAGAGAAGAUUAUGACGGUAUCUAACGAAUAAGCACCGGCUAACUCCGUGCCAGCAGCCGCGGUAAUACGUAGGGUGCAAGCGUUACUCGGAAUCACUGGGCGUAAAGAGUGCGUAGGCGGGGUAAUAAGUCAGAUGUGAAAUCCUGUAGCUUAACUACAGAACUGCAUUUGAAACUGUUACUCUGGAGUGUGGGAGAGGUAGGUGGAAUUCUUGGUGUAGGGGUAAAAUGCGUAGAGAUCAAGAGGAAUACUCAUUGCGAAGGCGACCUGCUGGAACAUUACUGACGCUGAUGCACGAAAGCGUGGGGAGCAAACAGGAUUAGAUACCCUUGUAGUC